rnacentral:rRNA from 1 species
CGAACGCUGGCGGCAUGCCUAAUACAUGCAAGUCGAGCGGACCCGAGGUGCUUGCACCUCAAUGGGUCAGCGGCGGACGGGUGAGUAACACGUGGGCAACCUGCCCAACAGACUGGGAUAACUCCGGGAAACCGGAGCUAAUACCGGAUAUUCUCUUUUCACCACCUGGUGAAAAGAGAAAAGGCGGUUUCGGCCGCCACUAUUGGAUGGGCCCGCGGCGCAUUAGCUAGUUGGUGAGGUAAGGGCUCACCAAGGCGACGAUGCGUAGCCGACCUGAGAGGGUGAUCGGCCACACUGGAACUGAGACACGGUCCAGACUCCUACGGGAGGCAGCAGUAGGGAAUCAUCCGCAAUGGGCGAAAGCCUGACGGUGCAAUGCCGCGUGAGUGAUGAAGGUUUUCGGAUCGUAAAGCUCUGUUGUGAGGGAAGAACAAGUUCGGGAGGAAAUGCCCGAGCCGUGACGGUACCUCACCAGAAAGCCACUGCUAACUAC